CCACCCCAAAAAAGGAUAAUCUUGCUAAAUUUGGGAUGCAUGCAACACCAAGUGAUCAGAUAUGACUGGGGCGGCGGUGGUGCUGGCGGUGGAUCAUGGACGGCGAAGUUCAACUUCGCCUUCAGACGCGAUCUCCUCCAGACGAGCGACCAGACAGACAGUCGGCGCCUUUUUUUACGCGAAGUCACCAUAUGGCUACAGGAUGCUGACACCUGCCCGGUGCGCAGAUAACAACAACCGGGCAGCAUCACCCACUUCUUCAGACAGUGACAGCUCGGUGGCUCAGAACCUAUUGUGGAGCUAACAUGGCUGCCAACAAUAAGACAUGAUGACAUUGUCCUGUUUUCACGCUGGAGGCCUCCCAGUAAGGAGUUCACUUCGAUACCUCUUGUGACAUGGAAACGGUCCUGCAGCCACCAGCGGAGCUGAGCUGAGCUGAGCUGCAGAGCUUUAGAGCCCUGCUGAGACCUGCCAGACCCACAGCUUUCCCUGCCAGGGGCCUCGGCUCGCAGUCAGAGUGAGUUACAACCCAUGCCCCUGACACACACGCUAGUACAGACACACACAUACAGAUAGCUUAAACAUGUACAGUGUGUUGGCAUGCAGGAGCACACGUACAGUAGAUGGGGCAUAUAGAGGAGAACUAUAAACUGAUACACACACAAAGAGAAACAAAUACUGUCUGUAAAAAUGCAGACAAAUGCAAAUAUGUGCACACACAGGUAAGUGAAUAGUGUGUGUAGCUCCACUGGACCAGUUAAGACAUGGUGAUGGCCAUUGCAUGCACAGUUACUUAUGUCCCUAACCUUUUUAUUCAAGUCACACACACACACACACACACACACACACACACACACACACACACAUAGGGUAUAUGUAAACAAAACAUGCUUGCACACAUGCAGUAACGUGAGCAUGUCCUCUUACAGGAGCUCUAUCUAUCUGUCAGGGUUAGUUUGAGGUCAAGGUCCGGCAGCUGCUGGAUCAGCUGGAUUGAUCUGUCUGGGUAAACAUGUAAAGUGAAAAUGAGCAUGGUUACAAUUAAGGGAUUAGCUGAAGGCAUGUGUCUGUGUAAGGCCCAGCAUCAGUAUGGGACAGCACAUAUUCUGUGUAGAGGAGAGCAAUGUACAGAUAUAUCAGCUGCAUCGGUGUGUCAGCAUGUGCUUCUAAAAUAGUCUUUUCUCAUCAUGGCUCAGAUAGGAUCAGCUGUCCUGUCAGUGCUCAUGUUUCUUUUUCUUUUCCUUUUUUCAACGGCAAAAAGUACUUCUACAUGUAAGCCAAUGGAUUGUCUGUUCUUAAUGAUGAGUGCAUCUACUGUACUACAGUUACAAGGUUAGCCAUGAGUUGAAAAUAUUUCAUGGUGUCAAGCCCUUAAAAAUGUAUUUAAUUUAAAAAAAGAAUUAGUGACAGGGCAUUUAGGGCUGUUUUUCUUUUCAGAUUGUUUGUUCAACAUUUUACUGUGGAUCCUUAUUCUUUAUAUUAUUCUAUUUUACAUUUUGAGUAGUAUUUCAUAAUUUUAUUUUUAUUGGUGUUGCUUUCCUUCUAUCAUUGGUGUUUUAUUAUCUACUAUAAUACCCAUUAUUGUCAUAAUCUUGUUGUCUGUUUUUUUGUGUCUUAGUCUCAAAGUAAAUGUUUUACAUCCUAUGUUUUGUCAGUUGCUCGUAAAGCACUUGUUUGAAAGGUUCUAUAUAAAUAAAGUUUGAUUGAUAUAGGUGGCUACAUUCAUACAGUCAGUGUUUGCAGCUGACAACCGUAUUUACUGAGGAAAAUGAACUGUAUUGUGCAUACUGUAUUACCGCAGGACACAAUUUGUAUGAGGAAAUGACCACAUGGACAAACGUCACCCAAAGGCACGGUCGCUGGGUCAUUGAACAUCAUUAACAACGUGACUAAAAUCAUUGACUGGACCUCGUGCCAGGCGGUAUUACCGAAAUUUUGUAUCAUGAUAUUUUUUUAAGAUUCUGGUGGUUUUACGGUAUAUCACGGUAUUUUGGGCCUUUAUAUCGGUUUAUGGUGGCUUAUUCUACUGUUAGGAGUGUAUAGAAUAUAAAAACAUUUCAGUGUCAUGUAUAUAUUAAAGGAGUUUUCUUGUCCCCACAAAAUAAUAUAUGAAGGAAUCAGAUUGUAAACCUUUUUUAUUGUGCAAACUGUAAUGUGGUAAAAAUAAAAAUAAAAAAGAUCUGCCAACAAUACUGCUGCCUUUUAUUUAUUUUUUUAAGUUUUUAUAAAAAACUAUAACCUGACAUAAUACUCAAAGUAUUUAAUUAUUCAAAUAUAUUUCUCAAAUGUUCUAUUGCACAAGAAACAAAUGAGUUAGAGCUGUUAAGCCAUGCACUGGUAUUCAAAUCAUACAGGAGAUUAAAAUGGUUAUACUGAUUCAACUGGUAUUAUCACC
rnacentral:lncRNA from 15 species